UUUCCUCCUAUUUUCUUUUCUCCUUACCUCCUUCCUUCUUUCUUCCUCGCUCCUUUUUCCCAAACUCUUUUGAACAAAAAGCAAAGAAAAUACACAAUUGCCCCACCUGUCCCUUUAAUGAACAGGAAGCAAAUAAACCCACAACCAGGUUACAUCGUUUUU
rnacentral:ribozyme from 1 species